UGGGGAAUUGUUCGCAAUGGGCGCAAGCCUGACGACGCAACGCCGCGUGGAGGAUGAAGACCUUCGGGUCGUAAACUCCUUUCGAUCGAGACGAAUGGCCUCCGGGUGAACAAUCCGGAGGAGUGACGGUACCGAGAGAAGAAGCCCCGGCUAACUCCGUGCCAGCAGCCGCGGUAAUACGUAGGGUGCAGGCGUUAAUCGGAAUUACUGGGCGUAAAGCGUGCGCAGGCGGCUCCUUAAGUCAGAUGUGAAAGCCCCGGGCUUAACCUGGGAACUGCGUUUGAAACUGGGGAGCUAGAGUGUAGAAGAGGGGGUGGAAUUCCAGGUGUAGCAGUGAAAUGCGUAGAGAUCUGGAGGAACACCGAUGGCGAAGGCAGCCCCCUGGGCUAACACUGACGCUCAUGCACGAAAGCGUGGGGAGCAAACAGGAUUAGAUACCCAUGUAGUCCCUGAGCGGGCUGGCAAGGCGCAU
rnacentral:rRNA from 1 species